UACGAAGGGGGCUAGCGUUGUUCGGAACCACUGGGCGUAAAGCGCACGCAGGCGGAUUGAUAAGUCAGGGGUGAAAUCCCGGGGCUCAACCUCGGAAUUGCCUUUGAUACUGUCUGUCUUGAGUUCGGGAGAGGUUGGCGGAAUUCCUAGUGUAGAGGUGAAAUUCGUAGAUAUUAGGAAGAACACCAGUGGCGAAGGCGGCCAACUGGCCCGAUACUGACGCUCAUGUGCGAAAGCGUGGGGAGCAAACAGG
rnacentral:rRNA from 1 species